GACGAACGCUGGCGGCGUGCCUAAUACAUGCAAGUCGAGCGAGCUUGCCUAGAUGACUUUGGUGCUUGCACCAGAUGAAACUAGAUACAAGCGAGCGGCGGACGGGUGAGUAACACGUGGGUAACCUGCCCAAGAGACUGGGAUAACACCUGGAAACAGAUGCUAAUACCGGAUAACAACACUAGACGCAUGUCUAGAGUUUAAAAGAUGGUUCUGCUAUCACUCUUGGAUGGACCUGCGGUGCAUUAGCUAGUUGGUAAGGCAACGGCUUACCAAGGCAAUGAUGCAUAGCCGAGUUGAGAGACUGAUCGGCCACAUUGGGACUGAGACACGGCCCAAACUCCUACGGGAGGCAGCAGUAGGGAAUCUUCCACAAUGGACGCAAGUCUGAUGGAGCAACGCCGCGUGAGUGAAGAAGGGUUUCGGCUCGUAAAGCUCUGUUGGUAGUGAAGAAAGAUAGAGGUAGUAACUGGCCUUUAUUUGACGGUAAUUACGUAGAAAGUCACGGCGAACUACGU
rnacentral:rRNA from 1 species